GGGUCAUAAGCAGGAGACAUACGCAACAACGACAGAGCUUAAUUAGCACAAAAGUGAGGAAAAAUUAUAAAGGAAAGUAAUCGAAGCCAAGCCAAGGCCUGCAUGAAUUUUAAGGCAAGCACAUGCUAGAAAAAGAAAUUAAAAGAAGUUCAGGGGCUCUUGUCGCAGGAGCGUUGGCACCUGCACCGGCCACCGUGUGUAUGUGGUGUCGCAAGUGCCAGCAUCCUGUGACAAGAAGCCCUAAAACUUCUUCGCUCACAUUUUU
rnacentral:pre_miRNA from 1 species